rnacentral:lncRNA from 1 species
UUAGAUUCCUGAUUGAGAAUGGAGCUUUUCUGCCAGAUGACAUCAACGAUAGCAGGUUCAAUCCGCCACUUCAUUAUUGCCCUAGUCUUGAAUGGGCCUAUGAGGAGAUGAUGCGUUUUCAAAGAGAGAGCUUUUCAGCAGGCGAGACCUCUUACAGCUCUGAGAGUUAAAUGCAGAGAGCUUUUCAGCAGGCGAGACCGCUUACAGCUCUGAGAGUUAAAUGCUCUCUCCCGCCUGCUGGUUCACAUGAUGCCACUGCUUUGGUUGGAUUUGGCAUCUGAUGCUGUUUUAUCAGUUGACCACCACUAUAAAUAAUAAUAAUAAUAAACCAGGCUGGUCCUGUAUCC